rnacentral:tRNA from 1 species
GCCAUGGUGGUCUAGCGGUCAGAACACUAGCCUUUUAAUCCUGGGGUCCCGGGUUCAAUUCCCGGUGGUG